rnacentral:rRNA from 1 species
UACGUAGGGACCAAGCGUUGUUCGGAUUUACUGGGCGUAAAGGGCGCGUAGGCGGCGUGGUAAGUCAAUUGUGAAAUCUCCGAGCUUAACUCGGAACGGUCAAUUGAUACUGCUGUGCUAGAGUGCAGAAAGGGCAAUCGGAAUUCUUGGUGUAGCGGUGAAAUGCGUAGAUAUCAAGAGGAACACCUGAGGCGAAGGCGGGUUGCUAGGCUGACACUGACGCUGAGGCGCGAAAGCCAGGGGAGCGAACGGG